rnacentral:rRNA from 1 species
ACGUGGACAACCUACCCUUAGGUCGGGGAUAAACCCGGGAAACUGGGUAUAAUACCCGAUAGUCCUCGAAUGCUGGAAUGCAUCGAGGUCUAAAGCUCCGGCGCCUAAGGAUGGGUCUGCGGCCUAUCAGGUAGUAGUGGGUGUAGCGUACCUACUAGCCUACGACGGGUACGGGUUGUGAGAGCAAGAGCCCGGAGAUGGAUUCUGAGACACGAAUCCAGGCCCUACGGGGUGCAGCAGGCGCGAAAACUUUACAAUGCUGGCAACAGCGAUAAGGGGACCUCGAGUGCCAGGUUACAAAUCUGGCUGUCGUGAUGCCUAAAAAGCAUUGCAUAGCAAGGGCCGGGCAAGACCGGUGCCAGCCGCCGCGGUAACACCGGCGGCUCGAGUGGUAACCGUUAUUAUUGGGUCUAAAGGGUCUGUAGCCGGCCGGAUAAGUCUCUUGGGAAAUCUGGCAGCUUAACUGUCAGGCUUUCAGGAGAUACUGUCUGGCUCGAGGCCGGGAGAGGUGAGAGGUACUUCAGGGGUAGGGGUGAAAUCUUGUAAUCCUUGAAGGACCGCCAGUGGCGAAGGCGUCUCACCAGAACGGACCUGACGGCAAGGGACGAAAGCUAGGGGCACGAACCGGAUUAGAUACCCGGGUAGUCCU